rnacentral:rRNA from 1 species
UACGUAGGGUGCGAGCGUUGUCCGGAAUUACUGGGCGUAAAGAGCUCGUAGGUGGUUUGUCGCGUUGUUCGUGAAAACCGGAGGCUUAACCUUCGGCGUGCGGGCGAUACGGGCAGACUGGAGUACUGCAGGGGAGACUGGAAUUCCUGGUGUAGCGGUGGAAUGCGCAGAUAUCAGGAAGAACACCCGUGGCGAAGGCGGCUCUCUGGAACGCAACUGACGCUGAGACGCGAAAGCGUGGGGAGCAAACAGG